GUUUGCCUAUUCUCUAGAUAUGAAUAGAAAAGGAGUCAUGUAAUCGGUGAUGUUUUGUGAUUGGUUUCUUGUACUUAGCGUGUUUUCAAGUUUCACUCAUGUUGCUGCUUGUUUUCUUAUGGCCCCUCAUAUCUGCUUGCCUCAGUCUCACUGUGAUCUGCCCUUUCUGAGCCUCCUCAGCCAAAAGCAUUGAAGUGCUCCAUUUAAAAAAUAUUUACGUUAACUCUGCUUUGAAGAUAUGGUUGCACUAUUUAAAAUCAAGAAGGCAGGUUAAAAAAAUAAAUAAAUAAAAACCUUCCAUGCCUCUGCUCUUCCUCUAACUCCACCUAAAAUGUGUCUUUUCCAUCUCUCAGUCUUUCUGGUUUCAGUAAUGGAAAUUUCUUUGUGGUUACCGCCUUCAAUAGUCAAGAUUACCCUCAACACCUAGUUUCAAGAAACGCUUUCCUGAUCUCACCAAGAUAUAACUCUCUGCUGAAAGCCCAUAGCACCUUUUUUUGUUUCUGUGUUUUGUUAUUGUUACAUCCUGUUGAGUCAGUUCCAGCUCAUAGAGACCCUUUGAACAACAGAAUGAAGCAGUGCCUGGUCCUGCACCAUCCACACAACCGUUGCUGUGCUCGAGCCCAUUGUUGCAGCCACUGUGUUAAUCCAUCUCGUUGAGAGUCUUCCUAUUUUUCGUUGACCUUCUAUUUUACCAAGGAUGAUGUUCUCCUCCAGGGACUGGUGCCUCCUGAUAACAUACCCAAAGGACUGUAAAAAACACCACAAAAUUUACUAAAGCAAAAAGAAGGUUUUAUUCAGCAUACAUUCAAAAAGGCAAAAGCGGGAAGUGAACAAGCAUGCUGCCAGAGCUAACGUCUGCCCGAAUCCAAGGAAAUAUUAUAAAGUAAGCAAGAAUGGGGAAAAGGACAAGCAUGCUGCCACAGCCAUGUCUGCCUGAGUCCAAGGAACAUUACCAAAUGAACAGGAAUGGGAAAAUUGACAAGCAUGCUGCCACAGACAUGUCCGUUCAAGUCCAGAGAAUAUUACAGAAUAAACAAGGAUGGGAAAACAGACACGCGUGCUACCACAGCCAUGUCUGCCCAAGUCCAAGGGACGUUAAGAGACAUCAGUAUAUAUUAACAAGACAAAUGGCCAAAACCUGAAAUGGCCUGGAAAAAUGUUGCCAACAAUAGCCACGGACUUAAGGUUAUACCCAUAUCAGUGAAUUCGUCAGUCAAACAGAGACUUUGUGAUUUCCAAAGCCAGUUGAUAAAAUUAGAUUGGGAAAAUAUGAGAAAUAGUAAAAAAUCAAAUGGAAACUUGGAAUAUUUAAAGAAACUUUAUUUCAACUAGUUACAUUUUAUGGUAUACAGGCUUAAAAUAAUUUAAGACCUUUUAGGUAAUUUACUGAUGUUAAAUUGAGUUAAUAUUUGUCAUAAUUUAAGUUUAUAUACUUUUGCUUUUUAUACCACAAGAGAAAGGAUAUAUAUGUGUGCAUAUUUGGGUCAGCCAAUGAGUGAAUUCAUUUUUGCCAUUUAAAGGGAUAUACUAUAAGAGAUAUGCAACAAAGACAACUUUUGAGAAGUUUAUUUAAAAUAAAUUUAUUUGAUAAGGUCAAAAGUUUUAUCUGUCUGACUGCAGUUUAAUGGUUUAAUUUAUGAGAUUUUUAGGAGCUUUAAUGUUAAAUAGCAUAUAAAGCAAAGAAUUAGGUUUCUCGCUGUUAAAAUAACAAAAUUUUCUUUGAUUACUGAGUUGAAGAGUUAAUCUAUUUUUUGCAUAAUCUGUCUCGAAGUCAAAGGUUCGGCCUCUCAUUAAAACGAGAUUCCUGAGUCGGAAACCAAGCCACAUGGCUUUAGAGAAAAAAAAAAGCUAAGGUUUUUUAUUUUGAGAUCUUCGGUUAAAUAACUUAAGUAUUGUUUCACGAUAACUUAUGAUAAACUGCUGACAAGUUUGAAAGGUACGAAAAUUAUUUUUAUAAGGAAAAGUGCUAAAAAGGUUUAUUUAACAUGUUAUAAAUUACAUAGAAUGUGUUGUCAAAAUCAAGAGAAGUGCCUGAUUCUUUCUCUUCGUGUUAAAAUUUAUGUUAAUAUUUCCUUUUGUGUUUUUGCCUAAUACUAGACAGCAGAUGCAUAAUAUUAUGUCACAAUUUUAUUAUUAUUUAGUAAUUGUUAACUUGGUUGUGUUGUAGGGGAAAAAACAUCACAAAGCUCAGUAAAGCAAAAAGAAAGUUUUAUUCGGCAUAUAUUCAAAAAGACAAAAGUGGAAAGUGAACAAGCAUGCUGCCAGAGCUAAUGUCUGCCCGAAUCCAAGGAAAUAUUACAGAGUAAGCAAGAAUGGGAAAAAGGACAAGCAUGCUGCCACAGCCAUGUCUGCCUGAGUCCAAGGAACAUUACAGAAUGAACAAGAAUGGGAAAAUUGACAAGCAUGCUGCCACAAACAUGUCCGUUCAAGUCCAGAGAAUAUUACAGAAUAACAAGAAUGGGAAAACGGACACGUGUGCUACCACAGCCAUGUCUGUCUGAGUCCAGAGAAUAUUACAGAAUAAACAAGGAUGGGAAAACAGAGAAGCCUGCUGCCGGAGUCCAAGGGAGGUUACAGUCAUCAUUACAUUACACUAGGUUACAUUAACAUUACAAAUGGACAAAACCUUUGAAAGCUUCACCUUUUCACAGAUUGGUGAGAAAUUGUGACCUUACAUUUUGAAUAGUCUUUCUUAACAAUCAUUGGUACAGGUUUCAGUAACAGACAGUCAGGAGGGUCUUCGCCAGUCCAACAAAUUUCUAUUCGCUGAAUGUUAAUACAUAUAGACCUUGAAAUGUUCUUUUGUUUUUUUCUUUGUGUUGUACUGUCCUAUGGAUUUUGACAAAUGCAUAACGUCAUGUGUCCACCAUUACAGUAUCAUACAGAAUAGUGUCACUACCCUAAAAAUGCCCUCUGCUCCACCUAUUUUUCCCUUCCUCCUUCCCCUGAGCCUCUGACAACCACUGAUCUUUUUACUGCCUCUAUAGUUUUGCCUUUUCCAGAAAGGCCAUAUAGUUGGAAUCAUAUAAUGUGUAGUCUUUUCAGACUGGCUUCCUUCACUUAACAACAUGCAUUUUAGGUUCCUCCAUGUCUUAUCCUGGAGCAUAGGUCAGUUCUUUUUUUUAAUUGUAGUAAAAUACAUAUAGCAUAAAAUUGUCAUUUUAACCAUAUUAAAAUGUACAGUUCAGUGGCUUUAAUUACAUUCACAGUGUUGUACAGCCAUUACCACUAUUUCCAAAACAUCUUCAUCAUCCCAAACUGAAA